rnacentral:rRNA from 1 species
GGGUUGUGAGGUUAAGCGACUAAGCGUACACGGUGGAUGCCCUGGCAGUCAGAGGCGAUGAAGGACGUGCUAAUCUGCGAUAAGCGUCGGUGAGGUGAUAUGAACCGUUAUAACCGGCGAUUUCCGAAUGGGGAAACCCAGUGUGUUUCGACACACUAUCAUUAACUGAAUCCAUAGGUUAAUGAGGCGAACCGGGGGAACUGAAACAUCUAAGUACCCCGAGGAAAAGAAAUCAACCGAGAUUCCCCCAGUAGCGGCGAGCGAACGGGGAGGAGCCCAGAGCCUGAAUCAGUGUGUGUGUUAGUGGAAGCGUCUGGAAAGGCGCGCGAUACAGGGUGACAGCCCCGUACACAAAAAUGCACAUACUGUGAGCUCGAUGAGUAGGGCGGGACACGUGGUAUCCUGUCUGAAUAUGGGGGGACCAUCCUCCAAGGCUAAAUACUCCUGACUGACCGAUAGUGAACCAGUACCGUGAGGGAAAGGCGAAAAGAACCCCGGCGAGGGGAGUGAAAAAGAACCUGAAACCGUGUACGUACAAGCAGUGGGAGCCUCUU